GGGUUGUGGCUCAGUGGUAGAGUGCUUGCCUAGCAUGUACAAGGUGCUGGGUUUGAUCCUCAGCCCCA
rnacentral:tRNA from 1 species